rnacentral:misc_RNA from 1 species
CCUUUAUAUAAUUCAUUGCAUAUUUUGAUGUUUUAUAAUUAAAAUUUUGGGCCUUAAAAAAAUAAGUCAACUAGCCAAUGUUGCAAAAGCAAACUUCUCAUACAAAUAAUUGUGCAGGCUUCAGUGACUACACAAAACUGGUGCAUUUUGGCCACUAUCAUCGCAGCUUUGCUUCAUUUCUGAUAUUUUCAAGCUUCAUUUCUGCAUCUACGGAGAAGAACACAGCAUCCACUCAAAAUUAAAUCCAAAUUAUGCUUUCAGGUGUGGCUACUGGAGGUCACUUGCAACCCAAAUUUAUCAAUUUGCAAACAAGGCAUGCUCCUGGUUUUGAGGUGGGGAAAUUAUAUUUUUCAAGAUUUAGGCCUCCUUUGAAUAACAGAAUCAAUUGCACAUUUCGCCAAUCAGAGAAAGUCUCUUUUGCUCAUGAGGAACAUGAAAAGAUUUGGCCUUUGGUUAAGAUGUGUGGGAUUACAAGUGCUAAAGAUGCUGAAAGGGCAGCACAAGCUGGAGCCAAUUUUAUUGGGAUGAUUCUAUGGCCCAACUCAAAACGCUCCAUUUCACUUUCAGUAGGAAAGGAAAUUUCAAAAGUUGCACGGUCAUAUGGAGCAAAACCUGUUGGGGUGUUUGUGGAUGAUGAUGCAGACACAAUAUUGAGAGCUGCAGAUGCUUGUGAUCUUGAAUUUGUUCAGCUUCAUGGAAAUGGUUCACGGGCAGCUUUUUCAGAUUUAGUUAAAGAAAAACAAAUAGUAUAUGUUCUAAAUGCAAAUGCAGAUGGAGACCUUCUAAAUCAAAUUUCAGAUGAAGAUUGUUCAAUGGUUGAUUGGAUUGUUGUGGACAGUGCAACAGGUGGCAGGUAAGAAAUACCCCUUUUUUUCCCCUUACAGCAAGUACUUUUGUCAGGCUUCAUCUUGUAUGCAUAUGUAUUCCUAUUAUGAACCGUCAUCUCAAGGUCUAACAUGCACAAUUUUGGAACUGAAUUAUCUUAUGCUAUCACUAUGGUUGCUUAUUUGCAAAUUUGAUUAGGUAUGCACUUAAUAUUGUACAACAAGGUCUUGAAACUGGGUGCAUCUUCAGCUGAGUUGUCUUAUGAUGCCUAUUGCACAACUUGGCCAAGAGGCCCAAGGCCCAAGACUAACUUGCUUAGAGUAAGUUUGGCAGACUGACCAUAAUAGAGCACAGUAAUGACUUUCUCAUUAAUCUUUCAAUUGCAUUUUCAUUCCAUAGGCAUCCAUUAUGCUCUUUGGAUAUACUUCAAUUUAAACAAUCAAUUGCUUCCAAUAUUGGCACUACUAAAUUUACUUUAUUUUGGAAAUGGGUAGCGGGGUAAACAAGUUACUAGUCAGCCAAACACUUCAGCUGUAUCUCGGUGUCCCUACUCUUUAGUUUCAGUUUGCACUCACUUUGAGAUUGGUUUUUUUUUUUAUUUUUAAUCUUUGUUCUUAAAUUUUUCGUGAAAUUCUAUUUCCAGCGGCAAAGGAUUUAACUGGGCCCAGUUUAAGUUACCACCAGUUAGAAGCAAGA